rnacentral:tRNA from 1 species
GGUGGCUCAGUGGUAGAGCGCUUGUCUUGCAUGCAUGAGGACCUGGGUUCGAUUCCUGAGCACCA